AAUUAACGAUUUAAGUCCUUCUUAAAUGAGAGCCAUUUACCCAUAGAGGGUGCCAGGCCCGUAUAACGUUAAUGAUUACUAGAUGGCAUUUCCAAAGAGUCGUGUUGCUUGAUAGUGCAGCACUAAGUGGGUGGUAAACUCCAUCUAAAACUAAAUAUAACCAUGAGACCGAUAGUAAACAAGUACCGUGAGGGAAAGUUGAAAAGAACUCUGAAUAGAGAGUUAAAUAGUACGUGAAACUGCUUAGAGGUUAAGCCCGAUGAACCUGAAUAUCCAUUAUAGAAAAUUCAUCAUUAUGAUUUUAAUAUUAAUAAUAUUAUAAUAAUGGUGUGCAUUUUUUCUAUAACGGACAUUGUAAUCUAUUAACAUAAAUAUAUUUAUCAUAAGAUCAAUGAUGCGUAAGUUUAUUCAAAUUAUUUUGCUUGCAAUUUAACAUAGAAUAAAUGCUCUUGAUUUGAUAAAGUGUUGAUAGAUUUAUUGUAUAUGGUGCUGAAAUAUUUAUAUUUUAUAAUAGCAUAUUAAUCAUUGAUUUUUAUGUUUAUUAUAUGCACUUAUAUGAUUAACAAUGCGAAAGAUUCAGGAUACCUUCGGGACCCGUCUUGAAACACGGACCAAGGAGUCUAACAUAUUUGCAAGUUAUUGGGUAUUAAAACCUAAUAGCGAAAUUAACAUAACUUUAAUGGGAUUAGUUUUUAGAUUAUUUAUAGUCUAUUAAUUCAAUCCCGGGGCGUUCUAUAUAGUUAUGUAUAAUAAUAUUUAUAUUAUUUAUACCUCUAACUAGAGCGUACCUUGAGCAUAUAUGCUGUGACCCGAAAGAUGGUGAACUAUACUUGAUCAGGUUGAAGUCAGGGGAAACCCUGAUGGAAGACCGAAACAGUUCUGACGUGCAAAUCGAUGUCAGAAUGAGU
rnacentral:rRNA from 1 species